UACGAAGGGGGCGAGCGUUGUUCGGAUUUACUGGGCGUAAAGGGCGCGCAGGCGGCUCAUUUUGUCAGGCGUGAAAGCCCCGGGCUUAACCUGGGAACUGCGCUUGAGACGGAUGGGCUAGAGUUCGGGAGAGGAGAGUGGAAUUCCUGGUGUAGCGGUGAAAUACGCAGAUAUCAGGAGGAACACCGGUGGCGAAGGCGGGUCUCUGGGCAGUAACUGACGCUGAGGAGCGAAAGCGUGGGGAGCGAACAGG
rnacentral:rRNA from 1 species